AGCACUUGUGUCUGCUUUUGUCUAACUUGUGGACUAAGACUUAUGGACAAGGAUAAAAAGUAAAUCCUCUUUUGCAACCCAGAACUCAUUGUUCAGUAUGAGUCUUGUACGUGAAAGAAGGAAUAUU
ensembl:snoRNA